UAGAGUGACAGAAGGGCGUUCGGUGGAUGCCUUGGCGCCAAGAGGCGAUGAAGGACGUGGCACGCUGCGAAAAGCCGCGGGGAGAUGCGAGCGAUCGUUGAUCCGCGGAUGUCCGAAUGGGGAAACCCCUCCCGCAUGGGAGAUCCUGCACUGAAUUCAUAGGUGCUGGAGGCGAACCCGGGGAACUGAAACAUCUCAGUACCCGGAGGAAAAGACAUCAACAGAGAUUCCGCGAGUAGUGGCGAGCGAAAGCGGAGCAGGCCAGUGAUUGUGCGAGAAGAAGCCGAACGGCCUUGAAAGGCCGGCCAGAGCGGGUGAUAGCCCCGUAGGCGUAGUGUCUGGCAUGAUCCUCGAGUAGGGCGGGGCACGUGAAACCCUGUCUGAACGUGGGGGGACCACCCUCCAAGCCUAAAUACUCCUUGGCGACCGAUAGUGCACAAGUACCGUGAGGGAAAGGUGAAAAGCACCCCGACGAGGGGAGUGAAAGAGACCUGAAACCGAGCGCCUACAAGCAGUCGGAGCACUCCUGAAGUGUGACGGCGUACCUUUUGUAUAAUGGGUCCGCGAGUUUCUGUUGGCAGCAAGCUUAAGCCGAGAGGUGUAGGCGCAGCGAAAGCGAGUCUGAUAAGGGCGCUUGAGUUGCCGGCAGAAGACCCGAAACCGAGUGAUCUAGCCAUGGCCAGGUUGAAGGUGGGGUAACACCCACUGGAGGACCGAACCCACGCCUGUUGAAAAAGUCGGGGAUGAGCUGUGGCUAGGGGUGAAAGGCCAAUCAAACUCGGAAAUAGCUGGUUCUCCGCGAAAUCUAUUGAGGUAGAUCGUCGUCCGAUUACCUUCGGAGGUAGAGCACCGGAAGGGCUAGGGGGGCCCAAAGCCCUACCAAACCCUACCGAACUCCGAAUGCCGAAGAGUACAGGACGGCAGACAGACAGUGGGUGCUAAGGUCCAUUGUCGAGAGGGAAACAGCCCAGACCACCAGCUAAGGCCCCCAAAUCGUGGCUAAGUGGGAAAGCAUGUGAGACGGCCAAAACAACCAGGAGGUUGGCUUAGAAGCAGCCAUCCUUUAAAGAAAGCGUAAUAGCUCACUGGUCUAAUAGCUGUCUUGCGGCGAAAAUGUAACGGGGCUCAAGCCACGUGCCGAAGCUGUGGAUGCAUGAGCAAUCAUGCGUGGUAGCGGAGCGUUCCGUAGGCCUGCGAAGGGAGACCCGUGAGGGCUCCUGGAGGUAUCGGAAGUGCGAAUGCGGACAUGAGUAGCGAUAAACAGGGUGAGAACCCCUGUCGCCGAAAGUCCAAGGGUUCCUGCGCAAGGUCAAUCCGCGCAGGGUGAGCCGGCCCCUAAGGCGAGGGCGAAAGCCGUAGUCGAUGGAAACCAGGUGAAUAUUCCUGGGCCUGACAGACGUGACGGCUGCGAAGUGUUGUUCCUCCUUAUCGGAUUGGAGGGGCAGCUGGAGCAGCCCAGGAAAUAGCGCUGUCGAGAAAGACCGUACCCCGAAACCGACACAGGUGGACUGGUUGAGAAUACCGAGGCGCUUGAGAGAACUAUGCUGAAGGAACUAGGCAAAUUACUCGCGUAACUUCGGGAUAAGCGAGACCCCUUCCUGCGCAAGCAAGGAGGGGUGGCACAGACCAGGGGGUAGCGACUGUUUAGUAAAAACACAGGGCUCUGCGAAAUCGAGAGAUGACGUAUAGGGUCUGACACCUGCCCGGUGCCGGAAGGUCAAGGGGAGAUGUGCAAGCAUCGAACCGAAGCCCCGGUAAACGGCGGCCGUAACUAUAACGGUCCUAAGGUAGCGAAAUUCCUUGUCGGGUAAGUUCCGACCUGCACGAAUGGUGUAACGACUUCCCCACUGUCUCCAGCAUAGACUCAGCGAAAUUGAAUUCCCCGUGAAGAUGCGGGGUACCCGUGGUCAGAC
rnacentral:rRNA from 1 species